AUUGAACGCUGGCGGCAGGCCUAACACAUGCAAGUCGAACGAGUGGCGGACGGGUGAGUAAUGUCUGGGAACCUGCCUGAUGGCGGGGGAUAACUACUGGAAACGGUAGCUAAUACCGCAUACUAUCGGAUGUGCCCAGAUGGGAUUAGCUUGUUGGUGGGGUAAAGGCUCACCAAGGCGACGAUCCCUAGCUGGUCUGAGAGGAUGACCAGCCAAACUGGGACUGAGACACGGCCCAGACGCCUACGGGAGGCAGCAGUGGGGAAUAUUGGACAAUGGGUGCAAGCCUGAUGCAGCCAUUCCGCGUGUAUGAUGAAGGCCUUCGGGUUGUAAAGUACUUUCAGCAGGGAGGCGGUACCCGCAGAAGAAGCACCGGCUAACUACGUGCCAGCAGCCGCGGUAAUAC
rnacentral:rRNA from 1 species